rnacentral:rRNA from 1 species
UACGUAGGGUGCAAGCGUUGUCGGGAGUUACUGGGCGUAAAGGGCACGCAGGCGGGUGUGGCAGUUUGCGGGGACAGUGGGUGGCUUAACUGCCCAAGGGUCGCAAAGACGGCACGACUGGAGAGCGAGAGAGGGACCUGGAACUCCGGGUGGAGCGGUGAAAUGCGUAGAGAUCCGGAAGAACACCACUGGCGCAGGCAAGGUCCUGGCUCGUAUCUGACGCUGAGGUGCGAAAGCUAGGGGAGCGAACGGG